rnacentral:rRNA from 1 species
GACGAACGCUGGCGGCGUGCUUAACACAUGCAAGUCGAACGGAAAGGCCCUUCGGGGUACUCGAGUGGCGAACGGGUGAGUAACACGUGGGUGAUCUGCCCUGCACUUUGGGAUAAGCCUGGGAAACUGGGUCUAAUACCGGAUAGGACCACGGCAUUCAUGUGCUGUGGUGGAAAGCUUUUGCGGUGUGGGAUGGGCCCGCGGCCUAUCAGCUUGUUGGUGGGGUAAUGGCCUACCAAGGCGACGACGGGUAGCCGGCCUGAGAGGGUGACCGGCCACAAUGGGACUGAGGUACGGCCCAGACUCCUACCGGGGGGAAGCGGUGGGAAUUUUUGCAAAAGGGCGCCAGCCUGAUGCAGCGACGCCGCGUGAGGGAUGACGGCCUUCGGGUUGUAAACCUCUUUCGCCAGGGACGAAGCGCAAGUGACGGUACCUGGAGAAGAAGGACCGGCCAACUACGUG